UCUGAUUCUGAGCCCCCCACCCCCACCCCUACCCACUGCCUUUGAAGGGAGCUUAGGGAGGAGGGGCACACAGCUCUUGUAACACUACAGAGAAUGCUAGAUUUUAACCAUCAGAACUUUCUGUAAGAUGAAAAUUCCACAAAUGACUGCAAGCAGGUUUAUACUGAGACCACCUAUCAGAGGCGGCACAACCUACUGUGGUAUAGACCCAUGUCUACAUCAAUAUCAAUCAAGAAAAAUGCAUCAUGAACCAGGCAUGGUGGCACAUGCUUUUAACCCCAGCUAUUGGGAGGCACAGGCAUGUGGAUCCCAUGAGUUCCAUGCAGGAAAAGCUCACAUGAUUCUUAAACCGUUGUCACCAUCCUCAUUCUGGAAGGAUACCCCGGGCAAGCUUUUCGUGUUUCUCAAAGAGUCGUUCCUGGUGCAAGAGAACCCUCAGGGCAUUUGUUCAAAACUCAGGUUUUGGCACAGUUCUAAGAAGAUGCGAGCCUAAUGAACUACCCAAAUAAUUCUGAACAGCAGCCAAGAUAGGGAGCAUCCGUCAGGGUGAGAACUGCUCAGCCCCCAUCUUCCUCUUUCUACCAGACAGACUAGGCUUCCCUGUGUAUGAUCUACUGCUGGAGAAAUGCUUUCUUUGUCUUUCUCUUUCUCUCUUUUUUUUCUUUCUUUCCUUCUUCUUCCCUCCCACACCCCUGGUUUUCAAGACAUGGUUUCUCUAUGUAACCUUGGCUGCCCUGGAACUCACUCUGUAGACCCAGCGGGUCUCCAACUGUCAGCCCUGCCUCUACUUCCCGAGAGCUGGGAUUAAAGUCAUAUGCCACCACAUUUGGCAAAGUUACAUCUUUCUAAAGGUAUCAUGUAUUGUUUGUCAGGCAUUUACUGUUCAAUAUAUUCAUUUUAGAAUUUUAAUAUGUAAUACUCCCUGUACAAAACUCAAGAUAUACAUACAAUAACUCCCUCAUUGAGUAUGAGGGAAGUCUCUCUCACUUCUCCAACAGUUCUUGUCCCCAAGUUCUCAGUCUUUAAACAAAAGAAACCUCUGAGUGUACAGGCAAAUAAAUUACAUUUAAAAACCACUCUUUGUAUGGGAGGUAGCAUUUCACUUCAGAGCAUUUGAUUUGGCCUGUUUGGCUAGAAGGUACCUGUGAUGGGUCAAUUCAUGUUCCAAACAGUGCAAUCUUUUUUGUUUGUUUGUUUGUUUGUUUGUUUGUUUUUGUUUU